rnacentral:rRNA from 1 species
GGCGGUUCGGAAAGAAAGAUGUGAAAUCCCAGAGCUUAACUUUGGAACUGCAUUUUUAACUACCGAGCUAGAGUGUGUCAGAGGGAGGUGGAAUUCCGCGUGUAGCAGUGAAAUGCGUAGAUAUGCGGAGGAACACCGAUGGCGAAGGCAGCCUCCUGGGAUAACACUGACGCUCAUGCACGAAAGCGUGGGGAGCAAACAGGAUUAGAUACCCUGGUAGUCCACGCCCUAAACGAUGUCAACUAGCUGUUGGGGCCUUCGGGCCUUGGUAGCGCAGCUAACGCGUGAAGUUGACCGCCUGGGGAGUACGGUCGCAAGAUUAAAACUCAAAGGAAUUGACGGGGACCCGCACAAGCGGUGGAUGAUGUGGAUUAAUUCGAUGCAACGCGAAAAACCUUACCUACCCUUGACAUGUCUGGAAUCCUGAAGAGAUUUAGGAGUGCUCGCAAGAGAACCGGAACACAGGUGCUGCAUAGCUGUCGUCAGCUCGUGUCGUGAGAUGUUGGGUUAAGUCCCGCAACGAGCGCAACCCUUGUCAUUAGUUGCUACGAAAGGGCACUCUAAUGAGACUGCCGGUGACAAACCGGAGGAAGGUGGGGAUGACGUCAAGUCCUCAUGGCCCUUAUGGGUAGGGCUUCACACGUCAUACAAUGGUCGGGACAGAGGGUCGCCAACCCGCGAGGGGGAGCCAAUCCCAGAAACCCGAUCGUAGUCCGGAUCGCAGUCUGCAACUCGACUGCGUGAAGUCGGAAUCGCUAGUAAUCGCGGAUCAGCAUGUCGCGGUGAAUACGUUCCCGGGUCUUGUACACACCGCCCGUCACACCAUGGGAGUGGGUUUUACCAGAAGUAGUUAGCCUAACCGUAAGGGGGGCGAUUACCACGGUAGGAUUCAUGACUGGGGUGAAGUCGUAACAAGGUAACC